GCCUACGGCCACACCACCAUGAAAGCACCUGAUCUCGGAAGCGAUCCAGGGCCUGUCCUGGUUAGUACCUGGAUGGGAGACCGCCUGGGAAUACCAGGUGUCGUAGGCU
rfam:Xenopus laevis strain J chromosome 6L, whole genome shotgun sequence.